rnacentral:rRNA from 1 species
CCUACGGGAGGCAGCAGUGAGGAAUAUUGGUCAAUGGACGAGAGUCUGAACCAGCCAAGUAGCGUGAAGGAUGACUGCCCUAUGGGUUGUAAACUUCUUUUAUAUGGGAAUAAAAUGUUCCACGUGUGGGGUUUUGUAUGUACCAUAUGAAUAAGGAUCGGCUAACUCCGUGCCAGCAGCCGCGGUAAUACGGAGGAUCCGAGCGUUAUCCGGAUUUAUUGGGUUUAAAGGGUGCGUAGGUGGCUUGUUAAGUCAGUGGUGAAAGUUUGUGGCUCAACCGUAAAAUUGCAGUUGAAACUGGAAGUCUUGAGUAUAGUAGAGGUGUGCGGAAUUCGUGGUGUAGCGGUGAAAUGCUUAGAUAUCACGAAGAACUCCGAUUGCGAAGGCAGCUCACUGGACUGCAACUGACACUGAGGCUCGAAAGUGUGGGUAUCAAACAGGAUUAGAUACCCGAGUAGUC